AUAUGCAUGCAGUCGAACGAAUCCCAGAUUUUGUAGCAAUACAGAGCUGGGGGAACUGUCGAAAGGGGCAGUAAUGCGUGGGUAACCUACCUCCGGGACGUGGAUAGCCAUUCUAACGAGUGGGUAAUACGCGGCGAUUUGAUUGAGGGGCAUCCCUUGGUCAGGAAAUGAAUUUCGCCUGAAGAGGGGCUCACGUGAUAUUAGCUAGUUGGUAGGGUAACGGCCUACCAAGGCAAAGAUGUCUAGCGGGUGUGAGAGCACGACCCGCGCCACUGGCACUGAGACACUGGCCAGACACCUACGGGUGGCUGCAGUCGAGGAUCUUUGGCAAUGAGCGCAAGCUUGACCAAGCGACGCCGCGUGUGCGAUGAAGGCCUUCGGGUUGUAAAGCACUGUCGAGGAGGACGAAGCCGCAAGGUUGACCGAUCCCUGGAGGAAGCACGGGCUAAGUUCGUGCCAGCAGCCGCGGUAAGACGAACCGUGCGAACGUUGUUCGGAAUCACUGGGCUUAAAGGGCGCGUAGGCGGCUUGCCAAGUCAGUGGUGAAAUCCUGCAGCUUAACUGCAGAAGUGCCUUUGAUACUGGCGAGCUAGAGGGAGGUAGGGGUAUGUGGAACUUCUGGUGGAGCGGUGAAAUGCGUUGAUAUCAGAAGGAACGCCGGUGGCGAAAGCGACGUACUGGACCUCUUCUGACGCUGAGGCGCGAAAGCUAGGGGAGCAAACGGGAUUAGAUACCCCGGUAGUCCUAGCCCUAAACGUUGGGUACUAGGUUGUGGACUAACAUGGGUUCACAGCCGAAGCAAAAGUGUUAAGUACCCCGCCUGGGGAGUAUGGUCGCAAGGCUGAAACUCAAAGGAAUUGACGGGGGCUCACACAAGCGG
rnacentral:rRNA from 1 species